rnacentral:rRNA from 1 species
AAUACAAGGGGUCCCCCUAAAGAUUAUAAUGAGGGUGGUGGCGCGGGGUGUAACCAUGGGUUACCUUCCCCAAAACGGGGGAACCCCCUGAAAACAUGUUUAAUCCGUUUAACAGAGAAAACCCCCUGGUUUUUUUUAAAAAGAGGCUUGCUUACCACUUCGGAAGGACCCCGGGGCCUUUAGCUAGUUGGUGAGGUAACGGCUCACCAAGGCGAUGAUGCGUAGCCGACCUGAAAGGGUAAUCGGCCACAUUGGGACUGAGACACGGCCCAGACUCCUACGGGAGGCAGCAGUAGGGAAUUUUCCCCAAUGGACGCAAGUCUGAUGGAGCAACGCCGCGUGAGUGAAGAAGGGUUUCGGCUCGUAAAGCUCUGUUGUUAAAGAAGAACGUGGGUGAGAGUAACUGUUCACCCAGUGACGGUAUUUAACCAGAAAGCCACGGCUAACUACGUGCCAGCAGCCGCGGUAAUACGUAGGUGGCAAGCGUUAUCCGGAUUUAUUGGGCGUAAAGCGAGCGCAGGCGGUCUUUUAAGUCUAAUGUGAAAGCCUUCGGCUCAACCGAAGAAGUGCAUUGGAAACUGGGAGACUUGAGUGCAGAAGAGGACAGUGGAACUCCAUGUGUAGCGGUGAAAUGCGUAGAUAUAUGGAAGAACACCAGUGGCGAAGGCGGCUGUCUGGUCUGUAACUGACGCUGAGGCUCGAAAGCAUGGGUAGCGAACAGGAUUAGAUACCCUGGUAGUCCAUGCCGUAAACGAUGAUUACUAAGUGUUGGAGGGUUUCCGCCCUUCAGUGCUGCAGCUAACGCAUUAAGUAAUCCGCCUGGGGAGUACGACCGCAAGGUUGAAACUCAAAAGAAUUGACGGGGGCCCGCACAAGCGGUGGAGCAUGUGGUUUAAUUCGAAGCUACGCGAAGAACCUUACCAGGUCUUGACAUCUUCUGCCAACCUAAGAGAUUAGGCGUUCCCUUCGGGGACAGAAUGACAGGUGGUGCAUGGUUGUCGUCAGCUCGUGUCGUGAGAUGUUGGGUUAAGUCCCGCAACGAGCGCAACCCUUAUUACUAGUUGCCAGCAUUCAGUUGGGCACUCUAGUGAGACUGCCGGUGACAAACCGGAGGAAGGUGGGGACGACGUCAAAUCAUCAUGCCCCUUAUGACCUGGGCUACACACGUGCUACAAUGGAUGGUACAACGAGUCGCGAAACCGCGAGGUUUAGCUAAUCUCUUAAAACCAUUCUCAGUUCGGACUGUAGGCUGCAACUCGCCUACACGAAGUCGGAAUCGCUAGUAAUCGCGGAUCAGCAUGCCGCGGUGAAUACGUUCCCGGGCCUUGUACACACCGCCCGUCACACCAUGAGAGUUUGUAACACCCAAAGCCGGUGGGGUAACCUUUUAGGAGCUAGCCGUCUAAGGGGGCAAG